UACGGAGGGAGCUAGCGUUGUUCGGAAUUACUGGGCGUAAAGCGCACGUAGGCGGCUUUGUAAGUUAGAGGUGAAAGCCCGGGGCUCAACUCCGGAACUGCCUUUAAGACUGCAUCGCUUGAAUCCAGGAGAGGUGAGUGGAAUUCCGAGUGUAGAGGUGAAAUUCGUAGAUAUUCGGAAGAACACCAGUGGCGAAGGCGGCUCACUGGACUGGUAUUGACGCUGAGGUGCUAAAGCGUGGGGAGCAAACAGG
rnacentral:rRNA from 1 species